GAGAGAGACAUGCGCGCAUAUCAAUAAGCGGAGGAAAAGAAACUAACAAGGAUUCCCUUAGUAACGGCGAGUGAAGCGGGAAGAGCUCAAAUUUGAAAUCUUCAAGGUUUUACCUUGACGAAUUGUAGUUUAAAGAAGUGUUUUCUGCUGAAGUUUUGGUAAAAGUUCUUUGGAAUAGGACAUCAUAGAGGGUGAGAAUCCCGUAUUUGACCAUUAUUUUCAGCUUUGUGAUACACUUUCAAAGAGUCGGAUUGUUUGGGAAUGCAGUCCAAAAUGGGUGGUAAAUUUCAUCUAAAGCUAAAUAUUGGCGAGAGACCGAUAGCGAACAAGUACCGUCGAGGGAAAGAUGAAAAGAACUUUGAAAAGAGAGUUAAACAGUACGUGAAAUUGUCAAAAGGGAAGCGUUUGACACCAGUGUUGUUUUCUCGAAAAUCAAUUAAAAAUGGCUCGAUUUUGUAUUGUUGAGACCUUAGAAGCUCACUGUACAUUUUUCGUGUCUUUUUUAAUGCACUUUUCGUUUAACAAGUCAACAUCAGUUUCUUUUGUUGUAAAAGGGUCAUUGGAAGGUGGCUUUCUUUUCGGAGAAAGUGUUUAUAGCCUUUGGCCUCUGCAAUCGGAGAGACUGAGGUCUGCAGCGUAGACUCUUCGGGGUUAGAUACAUUUGUGCUAAGUUAUAGCUUUUUAUAGACAACUUGUUGACUAUAAUUAGUCUUGUAGCUUACUCGCUUAUGCUAUUUUACCUACGCUUAGGAUGUUGAAGAUGUAGCACAUCAU
rnacentral:rRNA from 1 species